rnacentral:rRNA from 1 species
GACGAACGCUGGCGGCGUGCUUAACACAUGCAAGUCGAACGGAAAGGCCCUGCUUUUGUGGGGUGCUCGAGUGGCGAACGGGUGAGUAACACGUGAGUAACCUGCCCUUGACUUUGGGAUAAGUUCAGGAAACUGGGGCUAAUACCGGAUAGGAGCUCCUGCUGCAUGGUGGGGGUUGGAAAGUUUCGGCGGUUGGGGAUGGACUCGCGGCUUAUCAGCUUGUUGGUGGGGUAGUGGCUUACCAAGGCUUUGACGGGUAGCCGGCCUGAGAGGGUGACCGGCCACAUUGGGACUGAGAUACGGCCCAGACUCCUACGGUAGGCAGCAGUGGGGAAUAUUGCACAAUGGGCGGAAGCCUGAUGCAGCAACGCCGCGUUCGGGAUGACGGCCUUCGGGUUGUAAACCGCUUUCGCCUGUGACGAAGCGUGAGUGACGGUAAUGGGUAAAGAAGCACCGGCUAACUACGUG